rnacentral:rRNA from 1 species
AUUGAACGCUGGCGGCAGGCUUAACACAUGCAAGUCGAGCGGGGUGAUGGUGCUUGCACUAUCACUUAGCGGCGGACGGGUGAGUAAUGCUUAGGAAUCUGCCUAUUAGUGGGGGACAACAUCUCGAAAGGGAUGCUAAUACCGCAUACGUCCUACGGGAGAAAGCAGGGGAUCACUUGUGACCUUGCGCUAAUAGAUGAGCCUAAGUCGGAUUAGCUAGUUGGUGGGGUAAAGGCCUACCAAGGCGACGAUCUGUAGCGGGUCUGAGAGGAUGAUCCGCCACACUGGGGCUGAGACACGGCCCAGACUCCUACGGGAGGCAGCAGUGGGGAAUAUUGGACAAUGGGGGGAACCCUGAUCCAGCCAUGCCGCGUGUGUGAAGAAGGCCUUAUGGUUGUAAAGCACUUUAAGCGAGGAGGAGGCUCUUUUGGUUAAUACCCGAGAUGAGUGGACGUUACUCGCAGAAUAAGCACCGGCUAACUCUGUGCCAGCCGCCGCAGUAA